AUGUUGUACGAAAGGAGAGAAGGAUAGCACUCCUCUUGACAAAGAUGGAUGAGACUCUGUGCUUAACAAUGUGUGUGGUUAAGGCAGUGCCAUGUGCUUUGGGGCAUCUGAUGAUUUGUGUAU